GACGAACCGUGCGAACGUUGUUCGGAAUCACUGGGCUUAAAGGGCGCGUAGGCGGAUCACCAAGUCCGGGGUGAAAGCCCCCAGCUUAACUGGGGAAUGGCCUUGGAUACUGGUGGUCUGGAGGGAGAUAGGGGCAGUUGGAACUUCCGGUGGAGCGGUGAAAUGCGUUGAUAUCGGAAGGAACGCCGGUGGCGAAAGCGAACUGCUGGAUCUCUUCUGACGCUGAGGCGCGAAAGCCAGGGGAGCAAACGGG
rnacentral:rRNA from 1 species